GACGAACGCUGGCGGCGUGCCUAAUACAUGCAAGUCGAGCGGGGAUUAUGCUUGAUCGCUUCGGUGAGACGGCAUAUAUCCUAGCGGCGGACGGGUGAGUAACGCGUGGGUAAUCUACCUCGUAGUUCGGGAUAACAGGCCGAAAGGCUUGCUAAUACCGGAUGAGUUCAUGCUUAUGCAUAUAGGCAUGAAGAAAGGGCUAGCCCGCUAUGAGAUGAGCCCGCGUCCCAUUAGCUUGUUGGUGGGUAACGGCCUACCAAGGCUAUGAUGGGUAGCCGGCCUGAGAGGGUGAACGGCCACACUGGGACUGAGAUACGGCCCAGACUCCUACGGGAGGCAGCAGUAGGGAAUAUUGCGCAAUGGGCGAAAGGCCUGACGCAGCGACACCGUGUGUAGGAUGAAGAUCUUCGGAUCGUAAACUAUUGUCAGUUGAAGACGAAGGCAGUAGAGUUAAGAGCUGAAUGCUGACGGUA
rnacentral:rRNA from 1 species